ensembl:lncRNA
CGCGGAGCCAUGGAGCCACGCUGCCGAAGGGCGCGCAACCAACGCGGUAAAGUUUUAAUCCCCGAGGUGGUUUUGUCAGUCAUGGUUCGCAAACACCUCUUUUCGCUCAAGUGACCAGACAUCAUGGGCUGUGGUACCAGGCAAGGGAGGAGUAGGCGGUCCUGCCCACCUGGGCAGCUCCUCCAGUUAGCGCCAACCCUGAGCCCCAUUCCUGAGGAUGUUUCCAAAACCUCACGUGCAGUGGCUGUUUUUGAAUCAGAAGAAAGGAAGAAGCUAAGGCCCUCGGUGUAUAACAGGACUACACAAGCAGCCAGAGCAAUAAGAAGUAUGAGCAAAAAGGCACACCCACCGCAUUUCAGGCUCAACGGAUAGAGAAAGCCC